UACGUAGGGUGCAAGCGUUAAUCGGAAUUACUGGGCGUAAAGCGUGCGCAGGCGGUCUUGCAAGACAGAUGUGAAAUCCCCGGGCUCAACCUGGGAACUGCAUUUGUGACUGCAAGGCUGGAGUGCGGCAGAGGGGGAUGGAAUUCCGCGUGUAGCAGUGAAAUGCGUAGAGAUGCGGAGGAACACCGAUGGCGAAGGCAGCCCCCUGGGCUGACACUGACGCUCAGGCACGAAAGCGUGGGGAGCAAACAGG
rnacentral:rRNA from 1 species